rnacentral:ncRNA from 1 species
AACGAUACUUUGCAAAAACAGACGUCGGAAAUCUAAACAGGCAAAGCGCGGUGAAAAUGAAUGCCCGGUUUCUGUAUAUUUGUGCGGAAAUAUGGGCGUUCUCCGUAGGCCUGUUAGAGAGUUUCGGCUCUCGUCCCCUCCGACGGGGUGUUUUUGCAUGCGGGGAGCGCCCAUAUUUCUUGCUUUCCUCUUUUAGAAUCAUUGCUUUA